rnacentral:rRNA from 1 species
UGGGGAAUUUUGGACAAUGGGGGAAACCCUGAUCCAGCCAUCCCGCGUGUGCGAUGAUGGCCUUCGGGUUGUAAAGCACUUUUGGCAGGAAAGAAACGUCAUGGGUUAAUACCCCGUGAAACUGACGGUACCUGCAGAAUAAGCACCGGCUAACUACGUGCCAGCAGCCGCGGUAAUACGUAGGGUGCAAGCGUUAAUCGGAAUUACUGGGCGUAAAGCGUGCGCAGGCGGUUCGGAAAGAAAGAUGUGAAAUCCCAGAGCUCAACUUUGGAACUGCAUUUUUAACUACCGGGCUAGAGUGUGUCAGAGGGAGGUGGAAUUCCGCGUGGAGCAGUGAAAUGCAUAGAAAUGCGGAGGAAGACCGAUGGCGAAGGCAGCCGCCUGGGAUAACACUGACGCUCAUGCACGAAAGCGUGGGGAGCAAACAGG